CUUUGCUUAGCUGUUGCUGAUAUCUGAGAAUAGGUUUAAAACCCCUAAUAAACUGUCAGGAGGUCUCUUUUUCUGGGCUUUGAACAGUUUCUCUGUAUC